UGUGAAGUCCCUCAACUUCAGUGUCUAUGAGUGGCCUGCUCCUGCUCUGAGACUGUGAGAAGAGCCUCAAUGUGCCCAGCAAGCCUCCAAUUUCACGGUGCAGAUAUGAAGCCUGUGGUGUAGCCUGGCCAACAUUGGGAGUCAGAGUCAAUGCUGCCUCAUCUGCUCUGGCUGCAACCUGGAACGUCCUGAUACUUCAUCAGCCUCAGGCCUCCUGCUCCUGUUCAUCCAUUCC